rnacentral:lncRNA from 1 species
GGGUGCAGGAACUAAAAGCAAAAAUAUAGGCCAUGUCAUAAAUCCAUGAGCCUGGAACACUGAAAGCCAUGAACAUAAAUGUUUUGAUAGAGACUAAGUACUAUCAAAUAUUGCUGUGAAAUUCCAUGGUGUAACAUUCGUUGUCAGCUUUCCUGCAGAGAAAGGCAACAUGUCAGUGGUGUAAAAGAAGAAAAGUCUCCUUGUGAACACCAGUUAAGAGGUGAUGAACUCGUUUUGCUGGGCUAUCCCUUUCCUUCUACAUCUGUCUGGCCUGCCACCUUUGCACUCACACAGUCACAAAUCUAGGGGGAAGGUAACUGGAGCUUUGCUUUCUCAGAGUCCUACCCCUAUUAAGGUGAGUUUGAUGUGUUGAUGUAUCAGAAUCC